UUUACACACAGUGUUAGGUCACAGGUUGCUAUUUACGGGGAAACCUUUAAGCCAAAUUUCUUCACAUACUCUUGGCUCUUCUAUUUGUUGGUUGCCGAUGACUGGUCACUACCUCUCCAAGGGAACCUAGGGACACCUUGGAAGCAUGAGAUGGCUUUGAAGUGGAGACAAAUGAAAUCCUUAAGCUUCCCGGGGAGGGAUGGAGCCAUCUCUCAGAAGUCACAGCCUCUGAUUCCAGGCCAGAAUGUUUAGGGCACGUAACAACUUUGAGCAAGGAGCCUUGGGCAUCCGCUGGGGGUCUUGGGACAUAUCCUCUUCAAAUAAGGUGAGAUCAUUGUACCCUAAACUCCAUCUCGGAGUCCACUGCCUUGGGGAGCCCGAGCUGUGAGCCAGGCCGUGAGGAAGUGCUCAAACCUGGAGUUAUUCUGUCUCCCAACUGUGGCUUUUUUUUUUUUUUUUAAGAUUUAUUUAUUUAUUUGAAAGUUAGAGUUACACAGAGAGAGGAGAGGCAGAGACACACACACACACACACACACACACACAGAGAGAGAGAGAGAGUCUUCCAUCCACUGGUUCACUCCCUAAUUGGCUGCAACAGCUGGAGCUGCGCCCAUCCAAAGCCAUGAGCCAGGAGUUUCUUCCAGGUCUCCCAUGUGGGUGCAAGGGCCCAAGGACUUGGGCCAUCCUCUGCUGCUUUCCCAUGCACAUUAGCAGGAAGCUGGAUCAGAAGUGGAGCAGCUAGGACCCAAAGUGGUGACCAUAUGGGUUGCUGGCACUAUAGCCAGUGGCUUAACCGGUUAUACCACAGCAUUGGCCCCUAAGAUGUGCAUUUUUAAUAAUAGUGUCUACUUUUAGAAAACCG